rnacentral:lncRNA from 1 species
GCCGCAUAGUAAAUCACUUAUAGUUACAUAUCACGAUGGAUUGUAUAAUUCAAAUGACAGAAAUGUUGGAACACAUUGGCUACAAGAAAAUUUCCACAUCAAUAUAGAGUACUAGCAAGUCCUCUUUUUAUUCAAAAUAUUGAAUUCUAAACAAAUUUCAAUAGUUUCGAUAUAUCAUAAAAAUAAAAUUGAGAAAGGAAAUG